rnacentral:rRNA from 1 species
UACAGGGGGGGCAAGCGUUGUUCGGAAUUACUGGGCGUAAAGGGCCUGUAGGCGGCCAACUAAGUCCGACGUGAAAUCCCCAGGCUUAACCUGGGAACUGCGUCGGAUACUGGAUGGCUUGAAUUCGGGAGAGGGAUGCAGAAUUCCAGGUGUAGCGGUGAAAUGCGUAGAUAUCUGGAGGAAUACCGGUGGCGAAGGCGGCAUCCUGGACCGACAUUGACGCUGAAAGGCGAAAGCUAGGGGAGCAAACGGG